GAUCAUGGCUCAGGACGAACGCUGGCGGCGUGCUUAACACAUGCAAGUCGAACGAAGAGCGACGGAAGCUUGCUUCUAUCAAUCUUAGUGGCGAACGGGUGAGUAACGCGUAAUCAACCUGCCCUUCAGAGGGGGACAACAGUUGGAAACGACUGCUAAUACCGCAUACGAUCUAAUCUCGGCAUCGAGGAUGGAUGAAAGGUGGCCUCUACAUGUAAGCUAUCACUGAAGG
rnacentral:rRNA from 1 species